rnacentral:lncRNA from 1 species
UGCCAGGAUCGGCCUACAUUCCUCCAAGCCCCAAGCCUGGCUCCACCGUGGAGGUCGAGGGAGAGAGGCAGCCUGGCAGGAUCUGUGCAUCUGGGGAGUCAGGAAGGGGGGCGGCGAUGAGCAAACCCCAAGAUCUAAGAGGCAGAGAUAGGACAGAAGAGUCCACUACUUAGAAGGGAGUGGAAUUCAGCACCCUGGAGAGUUGCGAUUUCACGAUACCGUAGUGAAUGAAGACAGAGCUUCUUAGAUGCUUUAUACAAAAGGCAUCUGUGAAAUAGUACUACCAUCUGAAUACUAAAAGAUUUCACAUUAUGAGGUGACUAGGAGUAGAGCAUUGGACAAAAACAGGUUUUGUAAUCUCUGCAUCAUGAUUUUCAGCUCCCUGGUUUUUGCAGUCUCACUAUUUGAGGAAAGUUCACACUAAAAAAAAAAAAAAUCAAAUCAAGUACUAGAUAAAUAUGAUCAGAUUUCUCCAAAUUCUCACCUUGACAAGGAGAAUUCAUUUUUGUCAGCCUAAUGAAGCAUUCGCAGAAGCCAUAUGACUCUUUUCAAGAUGAACCUGAAGAUUACAUAAAAGUACAGAAAGCCAGAGGGUUUCUGUAGGGCCAAAAACUUUUCAGAAAGAUGAGAGAGCCCCAUGGAAACCUUUGGGUGCAGGGAAGGUGAUUCCAUGCCCAGGUGUAGAAUGUUUGAUCAGACGCCCACCUGGAACCAGGGACUGUUUCUCAGAAAAACCAGCACCCCUGACCUGACCGCAGUCAGCAAGAAUAUAAUCAUAGUGCAACCGGGGUGGAACCUGGCGGUCCCUAGCACCUCUCCUCGGGAAACUGGUGCCCAUCAAGCCAGUCAUCAGAGGAGAAGAAGGCACCCAGAGAAAGGCGAGAAAAUCCACACAUGAGCAGCCCAAGCACAAGUGGAGAAGAAGUUCUGAGGAAGUGGAUUUAGAAGAAGGAGAGAGCAUCCAAAGAAAGAAAAGAGGUAUAAACAGAAACUGCAUGUCAGCACAGAAAAGUGUAAGUGUCAAAAACGGGGCGGGGGGGGGAGCCCAGAUAUAGCCUCUCAGAAAGAGAACAGUAAGGCCAGGGUUUUAGCUCAGUGGUUCCACCUCCUGCCUUGAUAGCGCGAGGUCCUGAGUUCAAUCCCUGGCACCAGGAAAAAAAAAAAGGACAGUAAAUGCAGAAAAGAGGAAAGGGAGCAGGCAAGGAAAUGACAGAAGACCUGCUUUGAGACUGGUUCAUCUGGAUUUUGAAGCUCUUUAGUUCCUUCUCCUGAGGUUAAAUUGAGA